UACGGGAGGCAGCAGUGGGGAAUAUUGGACAAUGGGGGAAACCCUGAUCCAGCGACGCCGCGUGAGUGAAGAAGUAUUUCGGUAUGUAAAGCUCUAUCAGCAGGGAAGAAAAUGACGGUACCUGACUAAGAAGCCCCGGCUAACUACGUGCCAGCAGCCGCGGUAAUACGUAGGGGGCAAGCGUUAUCCGGAUUUACUGGGUGUAAAGGGAGCGCAGACGGCAAUGCAAGUCUGAAGUGAAAGGCGUGGGCUCAACCCAUGAACUGCUUUGGAAACUGUAUAGCUUGAGUGUCGGAGGGGUAAGCGGAAUUCCUAGUGUAGCGGUGAAAUGCGUAGAUAUUAGGAGGAACACCGGAGGCGAAGGCGGCUUACUGGACGACAACUGACGUUGAGGCUCGAAGGCGUGGGGAGCAAACAGGAUUAGAUACCCUGGUAGUCCACGCAGUAAACGAUGAAUACUUGGUGUCGGGGAGGUAAACUCUUCGGUGCCGCAAGCUAACGCAUUAAGUAUUCCACCUGGG
rnacentral:rRNA from 1 species